CCUAGGCUCUUUUGUUUUUGAUUUGUUGUUGUUUGGUUUCUCCUCACCUUCUUCUCUAACAGCAUAAUCCUAUAUAAACCCAAAAUAAAAAUAAAAAUUUUUAAUAAGAAAUUCGAUCUCUUUGCUGUUUGCGCAUUCUUGAGUAGCUUGAAGUAAGUGUUAAGGGGUCACUAGGGUAGAGAAUUAGGUCAUUCAGCUGGGUUGAUUAUACUGAAGUCUCAUUGCUGCUGCCGAGUUUUGCUACAGUUUCUUUCAAAAGUGAUUUAGCUUAAUCCGGAGCUAAAUUCAUACAGCUUGCCAGGUAUUUAUCAUUGAUUGUAUGCAAACCUACAAUCCAUCAGCUGAUGUGUACCAGAACCUCUAAGAGCGGCCAAUGAAUAAGAUGAAAAGCAGGGGAUUUAAUUUGUAAGACGCUAAGUAGAAUCAGAAAGAAGAUGAUGAUGAAGAGGAAUAAAAGAAGAACUGAAAAAGUUGGUGUUUACAGGUUUUUGGUUGGUAUGAGUUGUAGUGUAAUUUAUCACCAAGAAUGCGACCCUCACAAACGAAAAGGAAGGUGAUGAUUAUCCUAUCAGAGCGAUGAAGUUUCCAUAUCUCCCUUCGUCCAUGUUGCUGUGCAGUGUAAGUUGAGGACUCGGGCGAGCACAUUGUUGCAGGUGCUGGAGAACUCCAUCUUGAAAUCUGUUUGCAGACUUGCAUGAGGACGAUUUCAUGGGAGGUGCGCGAAUUGUGAAGUAUGACCCUGCUGUUUCAUUCUGUGAGACUGUCCUAGAAAGAUCAUCUUGCAAAGAAGAUCUGGUGCUUCGGCCCCAACGCCACUGGUCAAACCUCGGUUGCACAACCAAAGUAAGGUUUAAUCAUCUGUGGUUAAUUGUAGCGAUAGAAAAAUAUAUAAGGUUAAUAUCAAAACUUAAAAAGUCAUCUUUCUAUGGUUGCAAUCGACAUGGAACCCCAACCCAUCGUUCUUGCUUAGAUUGACCUUAAUCGACAAUUCUAUUAUUGUUUACUAUAAGAGUUGUACUUGAACUAGGGUGUUUACCUCAAAGUAUUGUUAUUCUACCAGACUCUUGCUGCAGACAGGAUGUUAACAAAACGUCAUUUUUGUUGGCCAAAAUUAUGUGGGUAAUUCUAUGAACAAUAGUCUGUCACCUGCUAUAAAUUCUUCCGAUGCACAACUUAAGGUUUUGUUAAUUCUGUAUCUUCUUCGUGAUUAAUUUGUUUUUGAUAUAACUUUCUUCUAUGUUACUGAUAAUUUUUGUUAUUUGACGUUAAUUGAUAUGAACUUGCCGCAAUAUUUAAGAAGAUUGGAGACAAGCAGACCUGCACUACUGGUUUGUAUGGAUUAUACCGAAUUACUCAACUAUACCCCAUCGUACACUACAUGAGUUACACUGGGUCAUCACUGGCAGGCUGCUGGUUUAAGCUUUUUUUUUUUAUCUUUUUGAUCAUUGGAAUUUUGUAGCUUAAUUCUCACUUUUUGAGACCAUGCCAGGUUUUGAUAUAAUUUCCCAACUUCAGAAUGCGAGCAAUGCAUUCCGAACAAACAUAGAAGAAGGGUUAGCUGAGAUAGAAAAGAAUGCUGCUGCGGAAAAACACUUUCAAGUGUACCAAUGUCAAUGCCUCCUCCAGUUGCCUUAAAUCUUAUUAGUUUUGAUUAAAUUCAAUUCAAUGAAGCACUGGACAUAGGUAAGAGCUGUGAUUAAAUUCAAUUCAAUUGGUAUGAUGGAGAAUGUGCCUGUGAUAGCUAUUGAUGAUUCUGUGGUCGAAUGGAUUAAACGAGUCUGUGGAGCUGUUUUAUGCCGAGAGUUCAGUGAAGAAUAAUUGUUUGCUGCUCGACUUUGGUGUGAGGUAUUGAUGACGGUAACUGGUGGCUGAUAGAGAAAACUCAUAACGGAGUUCAUUGAUGACUUUGUUUGCUGACGGAGUUUGAUUUUACUACCACUAUUAUUUGAACGGGAGAUGAUCUCAAUGCUAUAAUUGGUGCAAGGACGCAAGACAUCAGUAUUUGAUGCGACCAAUAUGUUAAGAGACCCGCAUAACAAAGUAAUUCAUAUCGUCUCACAUGCUUUAAGAACUUAAUGAUGUACAUAUUGUACUAUGUUCGAUGAUUUUUACAUAACAACAAGGAAAGACGUCCAUGUGCAAGGAAAUAAACGUUGGGUUGGUUGAGAGCAAGGGAUGUUUUAAUCUGACUUGCAAUGGAUUCCACCAAAAAAUCUAUGCAGAAAGAGAGCUGAUACGACAAGGAGUUGUUGAAAUAUGUCCAGAGCAAUCUUUUCUAACUAAAGGAAAGACAUGUAAUUUUAUAGUCUUGGGUGUUUAUAACGACACCAAAAUUUUGCUGCGGAGUGUUCACACAUGUAGGUGCAUGGCGAGAUCAAUGCUAUGGAUGGUGUAUAACAUGAGGUGUUGACGCAAACUGCUGUUCCUAGCUGAACUGGGUUAGCAUUCGUACAUCUGUGUUUAUUUGCAUCGAAAAACAUAUCAUGUUAGAUGUAUUAACGCUAACCAAAUCAAUCUAGGAAAACUAAUAUUAUGAUGUUGCUCGGCCAUCUUCAACUUCAAGUAAGGUACAUUCAUGUUUUUUAUGUGGCAGUCAUGACAAGCUAUCAAACUUUAAGUUUUUCAGGACAUUAUGCUACUAAUAUCGAUAUGAUUGAAUGGGUGGAUAAUAGAACUCACAUCUACAGAUGAUGAGCUUGCAACUGAUGCUCAUAGUUCAUGGUUUCAAUCGAGAAUAGAUUGGAGUUGAUAUUCAUGGUUUGUGUUGAAAUAUAAGAAUUGGGUUUUGAUGAGUUGGUGAACUGAAGCAAGGAUUGGUUUCUGGGUUUUGUUGAUUUAGAUGAAUGCCUAGGAUUUUCAGUUCAAGCUUUUUGGUGGAGAUGAUGUUGGGUGAAUAAUUACAGCUGCAGUUGAUGUCUUGAUUCUGGUGGAUUAUAACAUAUAAGUGUCAUUGAUUGAUGGGUUCUGCUUGCUUAUGUUAAAUUCAGGAAUGGUGAUUUGAAAUAGGCAGUUGUGGUUCUGCUGAGGAUUGUUGGUCCUGAGCUGCAGCUUUGCUCUUCAUUGAAAAAAAUAUUUCAUUGUUUUGGCAUCUUUCAUUCCGUUUUCUGUUGAAUUUUCCUCUUCGCUCUCGUUCGAGUUUGAUUUCGUCUUGAUAUUUUUCUUUAUCUGAUGUUUGGGUGUUCUGAUUACAAAAUAUGUACACAAUGAAUCUAAUCUCAGCUUAGAACCACGGAUAUGAGUACUUAUCGACCGCAAUCAUAUCUUAGGGGAGCUGCAAUCCAUGUGAAUUUUUAAAAGAAGAACUCUGCUACAGUAGUUGUGUUGGGAAUAUCUUUAACGGCACUGACGUUGGAAUGAUAAAAAAACAUCAUCAGUAUGAUUCUAUAUGACACGAGAAGCUUGACAAAUGUGCAAGUUACAAAGAGGCCUAACUGGAAGGAGUGUCAGAAUUCAUAACUGACAAUCGUGGGCUUGAGGUCUAUGUUUAUGGAUUGAAUUGUGGGACUUUUUCGUUCGUUUCAAUUAAGCCUGUGCCAUUGAAAAUAAUUUUGAGCCCUAUGGUAAGGUAUCGCAUGUUAUAAUUCUUAGGUAAGUUGGUUCCAUAUAUCUCGCUACUGGAUAGUUGAUUUGUUCAUUUGUAGUUUAUAGUAAGAUGUUGGCAGGGUGUCUCUGUUGAAUGUGACCUCAGUAUGAAAGCUAGCAAGGUGGUAGCGAUGAUAUUCUUAGAAGAGGAAGGGAAUAUAGUUGAUCUAGAAGUAGAAGUCCAGUGCAUCGAAGAAAUAGACCGAGUCCGGAUAAUGGAGUGGAAAACAGUCAAGUUUAUGACAGAUAAGGGACCAUCGAGCAACAAGGAUUGAAGCCCUGACCAUGAGUGAUACUGCUCGAUCACCAGUGAUUGUUCACCAAUUCGUCGCUCACCUGUUCGUCAUGCCCGUUCCCCUGCUGGUAGUUCAAACGUUCAUCGAUCCCCAGCUGGAUGCUCAUCCGUUUUCUGUUCAGCUUAUACUCGCUCAUUUAUUCCCCAUUCUCCAGAUGACCGUUCAUUUGUUGGCCGUUCUCCAAAUUCCUUUUACCAUUUCGUCGUGCUCUUGAUGCUGCUCACCUGUUUGGACAUGGUGUUUACGUUUUGAAGUAAAUUACUGAAAUUGGUGUUUUUUUUAAUGGCUGAAACUUAAUACGACAGAAAGACUUGAUUCUGCCAGGCAGUUGUGAAUCCUAAAUAUUGGGGUCCUUUUCAAUAACAUUGAUGAUACUUUCCCUAUAGACUUUUUUGUUUAUAAUAUUCUACUAGGUUUAUGGCUCAUGGAACGUACGAUGCGCAACAGUUUAAUUAAUUGUAUACAGUCUCAUGGAACAAUACAGAGUUGGUACAAACUUUUUGGUGUAUAAAAUUCAAUGAACAAUACGAUCUUA